AUUGAACGCUGGCGGCAGGCCUAACACAUGCAAGUCGAGCGGAUGAAGGGAGCUUGCUCCUGGAUUCAGCGGCGGACGGGUGAGUAAUGCCUAGGAAUCUGCCUGGUAGUGGGGGAUAACGUCCGGAAACGGGCGCUAAUACCGCAUACGUCCUGAGGGAGAAAGUGGGGGAUCUUCGGACCUCACGCUAUCAGAUGAGCCUAGGUCGGAUUAGCUAGUUGGUGGGGUAAAGGCCUACCAAGGCGACGAUCCGUAACUGGUCUGAGAGGAUGAUCAGUCACACUGGAACUGAGACACGGUCCGGACUCCUACGGGAGGCAGCAGUGGGGAAUAUUGGACAAAGGGCGAAAGCCCGAUCCAGCCAUGCCGCGUGUGUGAAGAAGGUCUUCGGAUUGUAAAGCACUUUAAGUUGGGAGGAAGGGCAGUAAGUUAAUACCUUGCUGUUUUGACGUUACCAACAGAAUAAGCACCGGCUAACUUCGUG
rnacentral:rRNA from 1 species